AGGAUUCCCUAGUAACUGCGAGUGAAGCGGGAAAAGCUCAAAUUUAAAAUCUGGCGGUCUCUGGCCGUCCGAGUUGUAAUCUAGAGAAGUAAUGCCCGUGCUGGACCGUGUAUAAGUCUCCUGGGAUGGGGCGUCAUAGAGGGUGAGAAUCCCGUCUUUGACACGGACUACCAGUGCAUUGUGGUAUGCUCUCAAAGAGUCGAGUUGUUUGGGAAUGCAGCUCAAAAUGGGUGGUAAAUUCCAUCUAAAGCUAAAUAUUGGCGAGAGACCGAUAGCGAACAAGUACCGUGAGGGAAAGAUGAAAAGAACUUUGGAAAGAGAGUUAAACAGUACGUGAAAUUGCUGAAAGGGAAACGCUUGAAGUCAGUCGCGUUGGCCGGGGAUCAGCCUUGCUUUUGCAUGGUGUACUUUCUGGUUGACGGGUCAGCAUCAAUUUUGACCGCUGGAAAAAGACCUGGGGAAUGUGGCAGCUUCGGCUGUGUUAUAGCCCCUAGUCGCAUACAGUGGUUGGGAUUGAGGAACUCAGCACGCCGCAAGGCCGGGUUUCGACCACGUUCGUGCUUAGGAUGCUGGCAUAAUGGCUUUAAGCGACCCGUCUUGAAACACGGACCAAGGAGUCUAACAUGCCUGCGAGUAUUUGGGUGGAAAACCCAAGUGCGUAAUGAAAGUGAAAGUUGAGAUCCCUGUCGUGGGGAGCAUCGACGCCCGGACCAGAACUUUUGGGACGGAUCCGCGGUGGAGCAUGUAUGUUGGGACCCGAAAGAUGGUGAACUAUGCCUGAAUAGGGUGAAGCCAGAGGAAACUCUGGUGGAGGCUCGUAGCGAUUCUGACGUGCAAAUCGAUCGUCAAAUUUGGGUAUAGGGGCGAAA
rnacentral:rRNA from 1 species